rnacentral:rRNA from 1 species
AUUGAACGCUGGCGGCAGGCCUAACACAUGCAAGUCGAACGAGUGGCGGACGGGUGAGUAAUGUCUGGGAAACUGCCCGAUGGAGGGGGAUAACUACUGGAAACGGUCGCUAAUACCGCAUACCAUCGGAUGUGCCCAGAUGGGAUUAGCUAGGAGGUGGGGUAACGGCUCACCUAGGCGAAGAUCCCUAGCGGGUCUGAGAGGAUGACCAUCCACACUGGAACUGAGACACGGUCCAGACUCCUACGGGAGGCAGCAGUGGGGAAUAUUGGACAAUGGGCGAAAGCCUGAUGCAGCCAGGCCGCGUGUAUGAAGAAGGCCUUCGGGUUGUAAAGUACUUUCAGCGGGGAGGCGUUACCCGCAGAAGAAGCACCGGCUAACUCCGUGCCAGCAGCCGCGGUAAUAC